GAUGAACGCUGGCGGCGUGCCUAAUACAUGCAAGUCGAGCGAAGCGGGGACGGGUGAGUAACACGCGGAUAACCUCCUAUAAGACUGGGAUAACUUCGGGAAACCGGAGCUAAACCGGAUACUUAUAGACGUAUCUGCGCUGCAUUAGCUAGUUGGUAAGGUAACGGCUUACCAAGUCAACGAUGCAUAGCCGACCUGAGAGAGUGGUAGGCCAAACUAGAACUGAGAAACGGUCCAGACUCCUAAGGGAGGGAGCAGUAAGGAAUCUUCCGCAAUGGGCGAAAGCCUGACGGAGCAGCGCCGCGUGGGUGGUGAAGGUCAUCGGAUCGUAAAACUCUGUUAUUGGGGAAGCGGUACCUAAUCAGAAUGCCACGGCUAACUACGUGCCAGCAGCAGCGUAAUAC
rnacentral:rRNA from 1 species